CACUGCCCUUUGUUUUGUAGAUCCCUCCGGGUUGCCAGGCGGACCAGAAGAUCCGUCUGCAGGGAAAGGGGAUCCAGAGGAUGAACAGCUAUAGUUAUGGAGAUCACUACGUUCACAUCAAGAUCAGAGUACCCAAGAAGUUAACCCGUAGACAGCGCUCCCUGCUCCUGAGCUAUGCAGAGGAAGAGACUGACGUGUUGGGGACUGUCAACGGAGUUACUGCUACUACCACAGGUGGGGGCAGGAGUGGUCAGCGCUCUGAGUCUGGGGCAGGACAGGACAGAACAGAGGGGCAGGAGAAGAAGAAAGAAGAGGAGGAGGGCAUCCUUUCCAAAAUAAAGAAAAUCUUUAUCUGACAGCCACACCUCAGGUAAGAGAUCAACAGGACCGUAAUGGGAGAAGGUAAGCUACUGGCCCUCUGUCCCUCUCACUACCCUCCCUCACCUACCGCCUGGAUAGAGGGAGAGAGAAAGAGGGAAUGGGGGUUUGGAUGUAUCGAAAGGACAUCCAUUUAGACACAGAAUGGGCCACCAAGAGAGCCAAGCCCAGCCACACACUGUUCAGUCCCAAAUGACACAGGUGUUGGGUUGAGAAACUAAGAACUUGUUUUACCUGGAGGGGAUUCAAAAUGGACACCAGCAAGUACCUGCCUGUUGGCAAGGAAUAGAGGAGAAGAUUAGAAGAGAGAAGC